CCGUUUUGCUUAAAACAUGAUUAUCUCGGUGCAGAUAGGUUUUUCAGCCUUGCCGAGACACGCGAGAAAACGAGAUAGGCAUAAUCGGGAUACCGGGUAUGCUAAUAUCUUUUGCUGUACUGUGAGGUACGGCAGGGAGACGGAAACCGUCAACAAUGCUUGCGUGGUGUAUCAUCAUAGAGAAGCCAAGGGCAGAGGACUUGUGGCUGUGAAUAAUAGACGCCUACGGUGUAGGAAUAAUCCGUUGAAGUUCGCGGAAUGAGAGACCACGGACAAAUCACGGAAAAUCUCAAACUAAGCAGUGUGCCUUGAAGCCGGAGAAAUCCGGAUAUAACACAAGUAACUCGUUAAAGUAGCGGUACGGCACGAUUUCAUUCUAACAAUUGUUGAGCACAACAACAUUCCGAAAGAACCGUGAAAUUUGCGGGUAUCAAUCCCGCGUGUGCUUGAAAGCGGCAAGAAGCCUUAGGGUCGCUCCCAAAGGCUCGGACUUGUCGUCACAGUGGCAGAAUAUGGCUGUAUGUAUGGUGAAUAAAGAGAAAUCUUAAUUAUGUUUUAGUUUUUGG
rnacentral:ncRNA from 1 species